UUUUAAAAAUUAUUUCUUAUUUGAUUUUUAUUUGUGAUAAGAAAACAUAAAAUAAUCAUUUUUAAAGAUUCAUGCAUAGCCCACUAUUCUCACUUUUCCAGCCCUUGUUCAUACAAAACUAUAUUUUCAACAAACUGUAGCCAGCACAUUUUUAUUCUUCUUUUGUGUUUAAUAUUAUGGUAUUUUCCAUUUUGCUAUAUAAUCAUUAUAAUCAUUGUUUUAUUGCUGCAUAAUAUUCUAUCAAACUGAUCUACCAUAACUUAGCUAUUCCCACAUUAUUGGACAUUAAAUCCUUCCGAUAUUUUGUUGUUACAGGUAAUGCUGCUAUGAUAACUUCAUAUGUGUAGCUUUUCCUUUCCUUUAAAUUAUGUCCUGUGAAGAGAUUCCUAGGAGUGAAACUACUAAAAGAUAAGAAGAGUGGUAUAGUUGAGAUGAAAUUAGCAUUAGGAACAGAAUUGAAGACAAUGACCACCCCAGCAAGGGCCCAUUCCUUUGCAGGGAGAAUUCUCAACCAGAUAUUGACUGGUUUAAUUGAUUUUGUGGCGUUCCUGCUCAUCAUGAAUAUAGCCACAAUAACCACAUCAGAAGAGAAGGGGAGAGCGGCAGUUCCUGAUUACUUGAGAACUUCAGGGAAGCCUGAAGACCCACCUGGAAUGUGAAUAAGAGUUUUCAGAUGAUGGCAGCCUUAUUUUAGGGAGCCUAAUUCCUCUUCUGAAAUUGUCUUCAGAUCCAAUUUUCAU